rnacentral:rRNA from 1 species
CGGAGUGGACGCAUCACUGGUGUUCGGGUUGUCAUGCCAAUGGCACUGCCCGGUAGCUAAAUGCGGAAGAGAUAAGUGCUGAAAGCAUCUAAGCACGAAACUUGCCCCGAGAUGAGUUCUCCCUGACCCUUUAAGGGUCCUGAAGGAACGUUGAAGACGACGACGUUGAUAGGCCGGGUGUGUAAGCGCAGCGAUGCGUUGAGCUAACCGGUACUAAUGAACC